AUACCUUUUCUCUAUGAUGUGCUCGACUAUCGCUUUCUUCUCUCUGCCGCGUUGACAAGUGAGAUUCAUGGUGGAAAUUUUUAAAGCACAAACAUGUCCGCAACAAGAUCUGAACGUUCGUAUACACUAUGUAUACCACCAACUCAAUUGUCUGAUCUAAUUUCACUCAUUUUUGUUGUAAAUUAGGGUUUCAGAUCUCUCCACAUGUAUUUGUCGAAAUGAAAAUCAUUCUAUGAAUUGCCAUAACUCUCUCUUGAAGAUCUGCUUUUCGCAAGCCCUCGCGAAGAAAGAUCUCUCUGUCGCAGCACCAUACGCAGAUGAAGUGGACACUGGAGUGCUUAAAGGGCAGACGGGAGAUGUUAUAGCAAGGCAGUAAGUAAGCUUGCAAAUGACACUAGUUCAAAUGAUGUGGUUAUAGCAGUUUUUAUCUGUUUGCACAUAUUGUAGGUGUCAAGAAUUAUGGACCUACUCCGCUCCUCCUCCCCCACGCCCUCCCCCUCCCCCUCCCCCUCCCCUAGAGAAAGAAAAACAAAAGGGGGGAAAGAAUAAAUCUUACCUCAAAAUUCAGCUGUGCUCAUCAACCGAACUUCAGCAAUUGCCUGUUUUGACUGAUACCUGAAAUCUACUAGGAAAAAUAUUGUUGUUUGUUUAAA